UAAAUAGCUACAUUCUAAAGUAUUUCUCAUCUCUUUCUCUGCUAUUAACAUUUCUUUUGUCUACCAUUUCAAAAGAAAAAAAAUAAAAUUCAAAACACAGCGCAUGUUAUUCUUCUCUCUGUAUUUCUUUCUCAUUCGCAUCUCUUUUUUUGUUAGGGUUUUUGUGUUAUUUCUAGAGUUUCAGAUCUGAUCCUUUUUUUUUUUUUUUGAGAAUUUCAUAGCGUAUUAGAUCUCGAUCUCUUCCAAUUCGUUGGAUUUUAUCUGAAUUUGUGGAUUUGGAGAGGAAAUUUGCUUUCUAUGUUCUGCUUUGGAUUCGAAUUUUCUCCUCGUUCUGUGUUAAAAUAGAUCUUAAAAAUUGGCUCCACAAAAGCGAUCACAGCGCCACAUGGGUGGCCAGAUGCAGCAAAGCAAUGCUGCUGCUGCUGCUGCAGCGACCGCUUUAUAUGAUCAUGCUGCCGGCGGCGCUGGCGGGGGGCCCUUGCAUAAUGCAGGCCCCACUAGCGAUGCUGGUGAUGCGGUCAUGGCACGGUGGCUUCAGUCUGCCGGCUUGCAGCAUCUGGCCUCACCCUUGGCUUCCACUGCUGCCAUCGAUAAUCGCCUCCUACCUAAUCUCCUAAUGCAGGGUUAUGGAGCACAAUCUGCUGAAGAAAAGCAGAGGCUUUUUAAGCUAAUGAGAAACCUCAAUUUCAAUGGGGAAUCAGGUUCUGAGCCUUACACACCAACCAUGCAAACUUCAGCUGGUAUGGCUGGAUCAGAUAGUUUUUAUUCUCCAGAAUUCAGGGGUGAUUUUGGCGCUGGUCUUUUGGAUCUUCAUGCUAUGGAUGACACCGAGCUUCUAUCUGAGCAUGUCAUCUCGGAACCUUUUGAGCCAUCACCAUUCAUGCCUGGUAGUUCAAAAGGUUUUGACAAUGAUUUCAAUGUGGCUAGUAGUAGACAGCAAAGAGAGCAAAGUGAUCCAGAUCCUUCUGUUGCCUUCAUUACUAAUGAUAAAGACAGUACCAGGGAAAAUAAUGUCGCUAAAAUUAAAGUUGUGGUACGUAAAAGACCGUUAAACAAGAAGGAGAUUGCUCGGAAGGAAGAUGAUAUUGUCAGUGUAUCUGACAAUGCUUUAACUGUGCAUGAGCCUAAGUUAAAGGUGGACUUGACUGCCUAUGUCGAGAAGCAUGAAUUUUGUUUUGAUGCUGUUCUGGAUCAGCAUGUCACCAAUGAUGAGGUUUAUCGGGUUACCGUGGAGCCAAUUAUUCCCACCAUUUUCCAGCGAACUAAAGCUACGUGUUUUGCAUAUGGUCAGACAGGUAGUGGUAAGACAUUUACCAUGCAACCAUUGCCACUAAGAGCUGCUGAAGACCUUGUUAGAUUUUUGCAUCAGCCAGCUUAUCGUAAUCAGAGAUUCAAACUAUGGCUUAGCUAUUUUGAAAUAUAUGGUGGAAAACUUUUUGACCUUCUUAGUGAAAGAAAGAAGCUUUGCAUGAGAGAAGAUGGGCGGCAACAAGUCUGCAUUGUUGGACUGCAAGAAUUUGAAGUUUGUGAUGUACAGAUUGUUAAGGAAUUCAUUGAGAGGGGAAAUGCUGCAAGAAGUACUGGAUCUACUGGUGCCAAUGAGGAAUCUUCAAGAUCACAUGCUAUCUUACAGCUUGCUGUUAAGAAGCACACUGAGAUCAAAGAUACCAGGAGGAAUAAUAACGAUGGAAAUGAGUCUAAAAGCGGAAAAGUGGUUGGGAAAAUUUCUUUUAUAGAUCUUGCUGGCAGUGAACGAGGUGCAGACACUACUGAUAACGAUAGACAAACAAGGAUUGAAGGUGCUGAAAUUAAUAAGAGCCUUUUGGCCCUCAAGGAAUGCAUUCGUGCUUUGGACAAUGACCAGAUUCAUAUACCAUUUCGUGGGAGCAAACUCACAGAAGUACUCCGUGACUCCUUUGUUGGCAACUCUAGGACAGUUAUGAUCUCUUGCAUUUCUCCAAAUGCAGGCUCAUGUGAACACACACUCAAUACUUUGAGAUAUGCUGAUAGGGUUAAAAGUCUCUCAAAAAGUGGAAAUCCAAGAAAGGAUCAGACUGUAAAUUCAUUACCUCCAACCACCAGGGAUGCAUCAUCAGCAUCAUCUUUGCCUGUCUCUUCUGAUGUAGAUGAAGUUUAUGAACAAGAAGAGGCUAAAGCUGUGGAUACAAGUAGAAGGGCUGUAGAAAAAGAAACUUUUUCCUACAAACCAACUACUGAUUAUGACAAACAGCCCCCAACCUAUUCUUCGAGUUAUCCCUUAAAUGGACGAGAAGAACGUGGGUCUUCCGGCACAGCAGAGAGAGAGAGGCUUGAAAUUAACAAUUCUUAUGGUGGUUCCACAAGUCAAAAAGUCUACUCAUCACACCCUCAAAACUCAGCUGAAACAGAAGAGAAGGUGCAAAAGGUGUCACCACCUCGUAGAAAAGGAGUCAGGGAAGAAAAGUCAGAAAAAGUGGGUAACUGGUUGAAGAAAGAGAGCAGUGGAUCUGAUAUUCCCUCCACAAACUCUAGGCAGCAGAAUACAGGAAACUAUACCACAAAUAAUACUAUGUUGAGACAGUAUGAAUCUGAUCCUCCUCCAGAUGGGAAUAUCAAUGCCAUACUUGAGGAAGAGGAGGCCCUAAUUGCUGCUCAUAGAAAAGAAAUAGAGGAUACAAUGGAGAUUGUUCGUGAGGAAAUGAAGCUGUUGGCAGAAGUAGACCAACCAGGGAGUCUCAUUGACAACUAUGUUACCCAAUUGAGCUUUGUGCUAUCACGCAAGGCAGCGGGUUUGGUUAGUCUACAAGCUCGUCUUGCAAGGUUCCAGCAUCGACUAAAAGAACAAGAAAUACUUAGUCGGAAGAGAGUUCCUCGAUAAUGCAGCUCUGUUUGUCAGCUUCAGUGAUGGGGUCUUGGCCUGUCUUGUAAUUUCUUCUCUCAAUGUAUUUUAGUUGUGAACUGUAUUGUUGAUUUGAUGUAUAUGACUAGUCAUAUGGGGAUUUACUUCCAAUAUACUCGAGCCUGUAUAUAUUUCACUUACGGCCAUUUAUGUUUCAUUCUCGCAGUCACAAGGUGAGGAGCUGUUUUUUGGUUUAUUGAGGAUCUGAUGCACUGCAUAGCAAAACAAAUGUAUUAAGGGCUAAUGUUGAUGUUCACAGUCAGGCUUCUGGCUUUUAGAGUGGUGCUGAUUAUAAGAAUUUAUGGGAAAGCUUUCAGUGAUUAUUGUUGGCUUGGCCUUGAAUUGUUUGCCGUUGUUAAAUUUCAGCUGUUAAGAUACUUUUAUGUACCGGUUCGCCUAAGAUUGAGAUGGAUGUUUGAGAAUGUA